rnacentral:rRNA from 1 species
UCUCCUGGAAACGGGUGGUAAUGCCGGAUGCUCCAGUUGGAUGCAUGUCCUUCUGGGAAAGAUUCAUCGGUAUGGGAUGGGGUCGCGUCCUAUCAGCUUGAUGGCGGGGUAACGGCCCACCAUGGCUUCGACGGGUAGCCGGCCUGAGAGGGCGACCGGCCACAUUGGGACUGAGAUACGGCCCAGACUCCUACGGGAGGCAGCAGUGGGGAAUAUUGCACAAUGGGCGCAAGCCUGAUGCAGCGACGCCGCGUGCGGGAUGACGGCCUUCGGGUUGUAAACCGCUUUUGACUGGGAGCAAGCCCUUCGGGGUGAGUGUACCUUUCGAAUAAGCACCGGCUAACUACGUGCCAGCAGCCGCGGUAAUACGUAGGGUGCAAGCGUUAUCCGGAAUUAUUGGGCGUAAAGGGCUCGUAGGCGGUUCGUCGCGUCCGGUGUGAAAGUCCAUCGCUUAACGGUGGAUCCGCGCCGGGUACGGGCGGGCUUGAGUGCGGUAGGGGAGACUGGAAUUCCCGGUGUAACGGUGGAAUGUGUAGAUAUCGGAAAGAACACCA